rnacentral:rRNA from 1 species
UACAGAGGUCUCAAGCGUUGUUCGGAUUCAUUGGGCGUAAAGGGUGCGUAGGCGGCGCGGUAAGUCGGGUGUGAAAUCUCGGGGCUUAACUCCGAAACUGCAUUCGAUACUGCCGUGCUUGAGGACUGGAGAGGAGACUGGAAUUUACGGUGUAGCGGUGAAAUGCGUAGAUAUCGUAAGGAAGACCAGUGGCGAAGGCGGGGUCUCUGGACAGUUCCUGACGCUGAGGCACGAAGGCCCAGGGGGAGC